UGUCAGCUUUUAAAAGGCGGCGUAAAGCUGUCGCUAUGGGGAUGGCCCCCGCGGUGCAUUAGCUAGUUGGUAAGGUAAAGGCUUACCAAGGCGAUGAUGCAUAGCCCGAGUUGAGAGACUGAUCGGCCACAUUGGGGACUGAGACACGGCCCAAAAACUCCUACGGGAGGCAGCAGUAGGGAAUCUUCCACAAUGGACGCAAGUCUGAUGGAGCAACGCCGCGUGAGUGAAGAAGGUUUUCGGAUCGUAAAGCUCUGUUGUUGGUGAAGAAGGAUAGAGGUAGUAACUGGCCUUUAUUUGACGGUAAUCAACCAGAAAGUCACGGCUAACUACGUGCCAGCAGCCGCGGGUAAU
rnacentral:rRNA from 1 species